CCUACUGAAUAGAAAUUGAAACCAAACAAAAUAAAACAAGCAAAUUCUCCUCCAAGUGUGAGCACCACAGAUGAACUUUUUUCUUGUGAUCUUCCAUUUUGCAGGAUGUUGCCACCGACACUGAAGUCUGUCAACUGACUAUCGUUUGGAGUCAGCUGAACGGCUUAUACCACAUACAGGGGAAAAGCAUAAAUGUGUGUUUGACUUCCAUGAAAUUAAUGAUAGAUGAGCUACUAAAGAGAGAGCAAGAAGAAAAGCGAGAGCUGAGAAAAUAAUAAUUUAAAUAUUAUGAGCAAGUCUCUUUACUGCUCACGUGACCUACAAUAGUGUUGUCCAGGAGGAAGAAAAUGAAUCCCUGGAGUGUGUACUACACCCGUCUUUAUCAUCUCAAAUCUCAUCUCACAGACAGUGAACUCAUCUUUGUUGUCAGCAUCAGUCAUCAUGGUGGUCAGCGUUGUUACUAUCAGAGCUGGGCAAGAAUACCCAGGAUGCAUGGUUCUGAGGAUCCGUCCAGGCUCUGAAACUGUCAUAACAAGGGUCCUGUCCAGCUGGGCUCACCCAUCUGUGCCUGAGAUACGCCAGAGCAUUGUCUCAGCUUUCCCAGGGUGAGUUCCUGCGUUGGCUUUGUUUCCAAUCAUCCUGUUUCUGACCCUU
rnacentral:lncRNA from 1 species